UGGGGAAUUUUGGACAAUUGGGCGAAAGCCUGAUCCAGCAAUGCCGCGUGUGUGAAGAAGGCCUUCGGGUUGUAAAGCACUUUUGUCCGGAAAGAAAUCCUUGGCUCUAAUACAGUCGGGGGAUGACGGUACCGGAAGAAUAAGCACCGGCUAACUACGUGCCAGCAGCCGCGGUAAUACGUAGGGUGCAAGCGUUAAUCGGAAUUACUGGGCGUAAAGCGUGCGCAGGCGGUUUGCUAAGACCGAUGUGAAAUCCCCGGGCUCAACCUGGGAACUGCAUUGGUGACUGGCAGGCUAGAGUAUGGCAGAGGGGGGUAGAAUUCCACGUGUAGCAGUGAAAUGCGUAGAGAUGUGGAGGAAUACCGAUGGCGAAGGCAGCCCCCUGGGCCAAUACUGACGCUCAUGCACGAAAGCGUGGGGAGCAAACAGGAUUAGAUACCCUGGUAGUCCACGCCCUAAACGAUGUCAACUAGUUGUUGGGGAUUCAUUUCCUAGUAACGUAGCUAACGCGUGAAGUUGACCGCCUGGGGAGUACGGUCGCAAGAUUAAAACUC
rnacentral:rRNA from 1 species